AGUGCUCCUGCUGACCUUCCGUGUCUGCAGCCCGGCUUUGGACUGUGGAGAUGCCCUCAGCCUCUACUCAGUGGCUCCAGCCUCAUAUUUGCGUGCUAUACCUUUAACCUCAAGUCCUCUUGCUGCUAACUUAAGCUGCGACUGUCCAGGACCUGCACACACACACACAUGCACGCAUGCACACACACACACACAGAAGGUGAACACACAGGAUGAGGCCCUGAAAACUCAUUUCACCCGUGUACCUCACCCAAAAAUUCCCCUUUGUACUCCUAUCUUUAUCUCUAACUGACAGCAUGAAGCCCUGACUGCCGAAACCCUCCAGCCCCAGCUCCAGCCCCUCAGGAGGGGACUGCGUGGGAGGAAUGACUCCAGCAAGCCGGCAGCUGACCCGUCUCCUGCCUGCACGCCUCCCGCUGUGGUCCACUGCCGGUGGUCUUCAGCUCUCUCCUCGUCCCACCCCCAUGGUCUGCUGACAGCCCAGCUCAGUGCAUCCCUGCCAUCUCUGCUCUACCGCUGGUCCUCCCAACAACCAACUUACAGGGUUUCACUCCCGUCACCCAGACUGGAGUACAAUGGUGCGAUCUCAGCUCACUGCAACCUCUGCCUCCUGGGCUUAAGCGAUUCUCCUGCCUUGGCCUCCCAAGUAGCUGGGAUUACAGGUGCCUGCCACCACUCCUGGCUAAUUUUUGUAUUUUUUGUAAAGGCGGAGUUUCUCCAUGUUGCCCAGGCUAGUCUCAAACUCCUGAGCUCAAGCAAUCCACCCGCCUCGGCCUCCCAAAUAAGUGGAAUUAUAGGUGUGAGCCACCACGCCGGCCCUGAUGUAUCAAUAUUAAAACAUUUUCUUCAGCCUA
rnacentral:lncRNA from 1 species